GAUGAAGAACGUAGCGAAAUGCGAUAAGUAAUGUGAAUUGCAGAAUUCAGUGAAUCAUCGAAUCUUUGAACGCACAUUGCGCCCGCCAGUAUUCUGGCGGGCAUGUCUGUUCGAGCGUCAUUACAACCCUCAGGCCCCCGGGCCUGGCGUUGGGGAUCGGCGGAAGCCCCCUGCGGGCACAACGCCGUCCCCCAAAUACAGUGGCGGUCCCGCCGCAGUUUCCAUUGCGUAGUAGCUAACACCUCGCAACUGGAGAGCGGCGCGGCCACGCCGUAAAACACCCAACUUCUGAAUGUUGACCUCGGAUCAGGUAGGAAUACCCGCUGAACUUAAGCAUAUCAAUAAGCGGAGGA
rnacentral:misc_RNA from 1 species